GACUAUUAUCAUAUCAUAUUUAACAAUUGAUGUCUUUCAUGACAUGAUUUCUUUGCAUUUUUGUCUUGUAUAUAUCAUGUGAUGAUUGAAAUAUUGAUUGAUGCAAAUUCAUAAUUUAUGUAAAAGUCUAAAUCAUUGGUUCCUCUCCUUCUUUUCGGCAAUGACAUAGGGGGAGAAAGAUUACUAGCUCAAGGCAAAUGCUGGCUAGCUUGUACUCUUCCCUUCUUUUCGACAAAAACAAAGGGGAGAAAGCUUUUGCUAGUUAGAACAUGCAAAGAAAAGCAAAGUGCAAUCUUGCACAAGAAGCAAGUGUUGAAUUGCCAUUAUUGAACUUAAGAAUCAU
rnacentral:lncRNA from 1 species